GAAUUAAAAUUGAGACAAUUGAAGCCACAUGAUCAAAAGUGAACACUUUGUUUGGCUUUUCAUACACCAAUGUUUAUUCUUGACGAUUGAAUGAAAUAAAUCAAACGAAAACAAUAGAAAUGAAUCAUCAAACAAAGAUGUGAAUUUGACUAAGAGCACCUUUUUUUUACUCCGCUCCAAUACGGUGCGUUCGGAAGCGGACGAGGAAUGAAGAAAGAACGCACGAGAUGACGUUUCGAUGGAGUGCACUGAACUACUGAAGUGGGUGACGAUGACAGCAAUGAAAACAGCGCACUUUCUUCCUUCAAUUUGCGCACUUGGGCUCUGAUUUUUUGCCAUUGCCGGAACUGGGUGCUACCUGAAAUCUCUCUGCAACCACAAAGCCUUCAACUUUUUAGGUAAACCCCUCAUCAAUUCCUUACAUUUUCACUUGUCUGAAACUGUUCUGUGUUUGAUUAAUGAGUUAUCUGUUCUAAACAAAUCAUGGGUUUUUUUUAUCCAAUUGUCCAUAAUAUUGUCUGCUUCGGAAGUUUUGAGGUGCAUUGGCUGAAAAAAGUUAGUAAAUCCUGGUUGUCCUGCUUUUUCCUUAUCUCACAAAUCACAAAUCACAAAUUGUGGUAUCCAUGACCAGAAAACUUUGUUAAGUGAUGCAGCCCAUUUGAGAUUCACCCUUGAAGCAUGCAAUAACCAUGACCAGAAAACUUUGUUUCAAAUCCAUCAAAUUUUCUGAUUGUCUUGGUGUAUUUAGUCUGAAAAUACAGCUUACACUAAUCGGAAAGCUUGUUUUCAGCAUGCCUAUCUUCUGCCUCGUAAUUAGUAUUGCUCAGCUUCUUAACCAUUCUGCUAUUCUGUGAAUGUUCUUGACUUGUGUAGACAUCCCUCAUCUAAGGAGUCUUAGAUUUUCCUCACCUUUGGAGAACUUGGUAUCAUGAUAUCACCAACCCGGUUUGAGUAUGUUUUCCACAAAUGAGCCGGUAAAACUAGAGCAGUGGAAGUUUGACAACCUAAUCUUUUGAGAGAUGAGACUUCAUAACGGAGUUAGAUUUGGGAGGCUUAGGUGGAGUAAAUUUGUGAUAUAUCAAAUUGUUUGAAGUAGGUGAAGUAUUAGUUAAAAUUAGUCUUUCUUAGCUCUUUUUAGUUGCUUAGAAGGAAGAAAUAAGAAUGGGUUCAAAACCAUUACAAAGUUAGAAAAUUUCAAGUUCCGAAUCAUCGUUAGCCGUUAGGCCUGUUAUGGAACCUAGCAGGCAUUAGGGGUCUUAGAACUUGUUCUUUGAACUUUUCCAGAUACAAGUCACUGAAAUGCGUGGUGUAUGUGUAGAACAUGUUGUUUAUGAGUGAAGACCUUUCUCCGAAGCUACAUUAUAUUGAAGGAUUGUUACUUAGAAGUUGAUGAUAUACCAUAUACAUCAGAUCCUUUUGCUGCAAAUAAUUCUUAUAUUCUGUAUCUAAUACUGCUAGCAAUAACCACACAAUGAGAACAAAAAUAUAACAGUAAGAACUUUAAUAACAAUAAUAACAGCAAUACUAAUAACAAUAGAGAGUAAUAGUAGUACUACCACUAGCAGUAAAUCAACUUCUCAAUGAAUCGAGUAGAAAUUAGAGUGACCCUAUUUGUUUUCUUGAGAAUAUUUAUCCAAUUAACCAGGGCCUUGCCUCUCCAUGUACCUGCGCCACGCUGCUAUGUCUUGGAUUCAUUGAUGCCAACCAAGAGGUAUAACUGUAUCGGUUGUAACUUGUAAUGUUUCGUUGGAAAUAACCUGGUCUUGCAUGAAUUAUUUGAGGGAAUAUUAUUCUUCAUGAUUGUGUUUUGUGUAGUCAUGUUAUGGGGUCUUGACAAAGAUGGCGUGCCGAGUACAUAUUCUAGAAUUGGACGUCACUUACUUAAACAAUUGUGAGAUACGUACCAUCUUGAUUCUAAGAUGUAUAAUGAACCUAAGCUUGCAUGAUCAGCUGAGCAUACCCUACAAUGAGAAGUUCUAUUGUCGGAAAGUUCAACGGAAGAUUGGCUUGUUGACUCUCCAUACAUGUUCCUUCUAGAAGUUAUACACAUAUUUGGUAUUGAUCAUUUGACUGGUUUCAUUCUUUAUUAGUCUUAAUACUAAAGUGAUAUUGAGAGCUUGCCGCUCUGUUUUUCAAAUCAUUUGAGAUGGUUGAAUUUGAUGCAGUUGGACACUCUUGUCAGUCAUAAUGGCUCUCCAUCGUAGUAGAUUCCCAUCUCAAUGAGGUUGUGUCGUACAUUGUUCUUAGCGCACUUGCAUUAAAUACUAGGCCGAGGAAAAAAAAUCAGACACACUGGAACGAUAUAUAGCCCUCCUUUUCAUCUGGAAGAAAGGAGUCAAUUUUUUAGGUGUAGUGUUUUUCUCUGAUUACAAAACCGAGUGCAGUGGUGUUCUAGGAUUCAAAUAGCCAACCCCAUUAGUGGGAUAAGGCUUUGUUGUUGUUGUUGUUGAUUUGUUCGUGUAGAAUCCAUGUAAAAACAAGGACAUUGACACCAGUUGCAAUGUGCAUGAAGACGCUUUGCGAACAUGCUCGUAUAUUAAUGUAACUGUUCUUUGAUUUUGGGGAGUGGGUGUUCUCCUGCCCUUCACUAUAACCCUUUGAAAAGUUGAGGUGCAAGAAAAGUAUACAAGUUGUCAUUUAUAUACAAAGAUGAAGCCCAUAACCAUGGACUUGUGUGUUUCAGAAAGAAAUUGAUCGGUGACAUAAUGCUCACGUCAUUUUCAGUAAGCAAUUGUGAUUUUGACGCAAUAUUACCAACAAUUAUUUAUGGUAUGCUUUUGGUGCGAUUUUGACAGGUUCCUUUUGUUUCACUUUUCUUGAUUCCUGAGGCCAUAUUCUUCUCAUCUUCUAUCUCCAUGCUUUUGUAUUGUGAGAUCUCCAGUAACGGGGUCCCUUGAAGAAUAAUAAUUGCUGAGAGAGUGAGAGGCACCUUUGUUUGUGUGACUUUAUGAUUCACUGGACCUUCACCUCCUGACGGAAAAAUACCAGGGGCCAUUUGGCAUCGUCCUAGAAUCUCCUUUACCUGUUAUGGAAUAUAUUAAAGCGACGAAAAGAGCUUCAAGUACAGCAGCUGGUUAAAGAGAAAGGUACGUCAAUAACUCUUGCUUCUUUUCUUGGUUUUCAAACAUUCGGGCCACACUACCAUAAGAACUUGUCAAUAAUUAUAUUCCUUUCUUUGAACGUGAACUAUGAGCUUCCCACUAGGGAUAUGUUAGUCCAAUGGAGGAGAGGCCAAUGCUUGCUCAGGAAGAACCCUCCACCACCACCAUGAUACUAGACCCAGCCUCUUGUGGGUCCCACCGCCACCGGUGCUGUCUUUCGACUAACCAUUUUAGCUGAAGGAAUGAUGAGAGUAACAACCUGAUUAGUGAAAAUGUUUCCCCCAUGCUAACGGUUUUAGGAUCAAAUGCUUGAACAGUCUCGACGGUGCAGCCUCUAGUUUGUUGAUAUCGUUAAUGUGUUAAGAAAUACUUAAAUUAGUACUUGAACUUUGAAUCCUGGGGCAUUUGUUUAUGUAUGCAGCAGGCAGAGCAAGUGAAUGUUAAGCACUGGGAUGGCAAGUCUUUGGAAGAUGAAUAAUCAUUGGAUUUUGAUUCCCGUGAUCAAACUCUUGACCACAACCCAAGAAAUCCCGAGAUCAAUCCGAUUCCGAUUGACUUUUACGAUUUGUUGUUGGCCACUGUGAUUUGUGGCCUCCUUUUCUCUUUUCUUUUUCUCUUUUGUGAUCAAAAUUUUCUUUAUAUUCAGUUGGUUUUGGAUAUGGAUUACAGAUUUAAAGCUAACAAUCCCAUUGGAAUAUAUUUCUUUUUGAGACUUUUGUGCAGAGAGAGAGAGCCCUGGUGAGUGCCCUUUAUGUCAUUUCCAUUUGUUUAGAGAGAGAAAUCAGAGAGAGAGAGAGAGGAGUUGUGUUGCUUCAUACCAUAACAAUACUAAUUCAACGUUCAUCUUUCGCAUCCGAGUUUGAAUUCUCCACCGCCCUAUAUUAAAGUAAUUUGACGUAUCGUGAGAAAAACAAGUGCAAUUAUGAUUCAUGUAUUUUCAUGGAACAUUGAUUUUUGGACGUAAUCGUCGUAUUUGAUGCAAUUAUAUUCUGAUUCCCCGUCUCUGAUACAUCCAAGGCAGGAACCAUUGAUU
rnacentral:lncRNA from 1 species